rnacentral:rRNA from 1 species
UCCGAAGGGGGCUAUCGUUGCUCGGAAUUACUGGGCGUAAAGGGCGCGUAGGCGGACCUGUCAGUCAGGCGUGAAAGCCCAGGGCUCAACCCUGGAACUGCGCUUGAUACUGCGGGUCUAGAGUGCCGGAGAGGAUGGUGGAAUUCCCAGUGUAGAGGUGAAAUUCGUAGAUAUUGGGAAGAACACCGGUGGCGAAGGCGGCCAUCUGGACGGCAACUGACGCUGAGGCGCGAAAGCGUGGGGAGAAAACAGG